UUGGAGGGCAAGUCUGGUGCCAGCAGCCGCGGUAAUUCCAGCUCCAAUAGCGUAUAUUAAAGUUGCUGCAGUUAAAAAGCUCGUAGUUGAAUUUCGGGACCAUCAUGUCGGUCGUGCCUCGGUACGUACUGGCAUUGUUGGUUUCUCCCUUCUGACGAACCAUGAUGUCAUUUAUUUGGUGUUGUGGGAAAUCAGGACUGUUACUUUGAAAAAAUUAGAGUGUUUAAAGCAGGCUCACGCUUGAAUACAUUAGCGUGGAAUAAUGAAAUAGGACGUCUGACUCUAUUUUGUUGGUUUCUAGGAUCGACGUAAUGAUUAAUAGGGAUAGUUGGGGGCAUUAGUAUUCAAUUGUCAGAGGUGAAAUUCUUGGAUUUAUUGAAGACUAACUACUGCGAAAGCAUUUGCCAGGGAUGUUUUUAUUAAUCAAGAACGAAAGUUAGGGGAUCGAAGACGAUCAGAUACCGUCGUAGUCUUAACCAUAAACUAUGCCGACUAGGGAUCGGAUGAUGUUAAUUUUUUAAUGACUCAUUCGGCGCCUUACGGGAAACCAAAGUGUUUGGGUUC
rnacentral:rRNA from 1 species